rnacentral:lncRNA from 1 species
GCGGCGUGGACAGCGGCCCCGGCACCCAGCGCCCCGCCGCCCGCAAGCCGCGCGCCCGUCCGCCGCGCCCCGAGCCCGCCGCUUCCUAUCUCAGCGCCCUGCCGCCGCCGCCGCGGCCCAGCGAGCGGCCCUGAUGCAGGCCAUCAAGUGUGUGGUGGUGGGAGACGGAGCUGUAGGUAAAACUUGCCUACUGAUCAGUUACACAACCAAUGCAUUUCCUGGAGAAUAUAUCCCUACUGUUAUUGCCCAGGCCGGACUUGAAGUACUGGUCCUUCCACCUCAGCCUAUUGAGUAGCAUGCUCCACUGCACGUAGCCUGAUGGAACGUUUUGUAAAUAAUCCUCAGUCUGUCAUUUGUCUUUGUACUUCAUUAUGGUGUCUUCUGCCAUAUAGAAAUUUAGCAUUUAAUGUAAAUAAUACCACCUUACCCGGGCACGGUGGCUCACACCUGUAAUUCCAGCACUUUGGGAAGCUGAGGUGGGCGCAUUAUGAGGUCAGGAGAUCAAGACCAGCCUGAUCAACAUGGUGAAACCCCAUCUCUACUAAAAAUACAAAAAUUAACCGGGCAUGGUGGCGUGCACCUGUAAUCCCAGCUCCUCAGGAGGCUGAGGCAGGAGAAUCACUUGAACCCAGGAGGUGGAGGUUGCAGUGAGCCGAGAUCGCACCACUGCACUCCAGCCUGGGUGACAGUGAGAUUCUGUCUC